UAGGGAAUCUUUGGCAAUGGACGAAAGUCUGACCGAGCAACGCCGCGUGAGUGAAGAAGGUUUUCGGAUCGUAAAACUCUGUUGUUAGAGAAGAACAAGGACGUUAGUAACUGAACGUCCCCUGACGGUAUCUAACCAGAAAGCCACGGCUAACUACGUGCCAGCAGCCGCGGUAAUACGUAGGUGGCAAGCGUUGUCCGGAUUUAUUGGGCGUAAAGCGAGCGCAGGCGGUUUCUUAAGUCUGAUGUGAAAGCCCCCGGCUCAACCGGGGAGGGUCAUUGGAAACUGGGAGACUUGAGUGCAGAAGAGGAGAGUGGAAUUCCAUGUGUAGCGAUGAAAUGCGUAGAUAUAUGGAGGAACACCAGUGGCGAAGGCGGCUCUCUGGUCUGUAACUGACGCUGAGGCUCGAAAGCGUGGGGAGCAAACAGG
rnacentral:rRNA from 1 species